UUACGGCCAUAUUAUAGUGAAACACCGGCUCUCGUAUAAUCAUCGAAGUUAAGCAACGUUGAGCCUGCUUAGUAACUAGGUGGGCAAUCACUUGGGAGUACCAGGUU